rnacentral:rRNA from 1 species
GACGAACGCUGGCGGCGUGCUUAACACAUGCAAGUCGAACGGUGACGAGGAGCUUGCUCCUCUGAUCAGUGGCGAACGGGUGAGUAACACGUGAGUAACCUGCCCCAGACUCUGGGAUAACAGUUGGAAACAGCUGCUAAUACCGGAUACGAGACGGAGAGGCAUCUCUACCGUCUGGAAAGUUUUUCGGUCUGGGAUGGACUCGCGGCCUAUCAGCUUGUUGGUGAGGUAAUGGCUCACCAAGGCGACGACGGGUAGCCGGCCUGAGAGGGCGACCGGCCACACUGGGACUGAGACACGGCCCAGACUCCUACGGGAGGCAGCAGUGGGGAAUAUUGCACAAUGGGCGAAAGCCUGAUGCAGCGACGCCGCGUGAGGGAUGACGG